CAACAGACACCUGCUCCAGCUGACCAGCUAGCAUCAGUGACUAGCCAAGACCUAUGCUACCACCCAGCAUGCUGAUGCCCAUACAUUUUAAUAAACACCUAACUCUGAUCCGGGACCCUCAUAAUGUGGAGACCUGGCUUGUGCAGUGGUCCAUCACACUGAAGAUAUCCCCUCCAUGCAAUUCUUGAUUAGGAUCCACAUCCUGUGCUUG